AACGAACGCUGGCGGCAUGCCUAACACAUGCAAGUCGAACGAAGGCUUCGGCCUUAGUGGCGCACGGGUGCGUAACGCGUGGGAAUCUGCCCUUGGGUUCGGAAUAACAGCGGGAAACUGCUGCUAAUACCGGAUGAUGACGUAAGUCCAAAGAUUUAUCGCCCAAGGAUGAGCCCGCGUAGGAUUAGCUAGUUGGUGGGGUAAAGGCCCACCAAGGCGACGAUCCUUAGCUGGUCUGAGAGGAUGAUCAGCCACACUGGGACUGAGACACGGCCCAGACUCCUACGGGAGGCAGCAGUGGGGAAUAUUGGACAAUGGGCGAAAGCCUGAUCCAGCAAUGCCGCGUGGGUGAUGAAGGCCUUAGGGUUGUAAAGCUCUUUUACCCGGGAUGAUAAUGACAGUACCGGGAGAAUAAGCUCCGGCUAACUCCGUG
rnacentral:rRNA from 1 species